rnacentral:rRNA from 1 species
GUAAUUUGCAGAGGAUGCUUCGGGAGCGGUCCCCAUCUAAGUGCCCUGGAACGGGACGUCAUAGAGGGUGAGAAUCCCGUAUGGGAUGGGGUGUCCGCGCCCGUGUGAAGCUCCUUCGACGAGUCGAGUUGUUUGGGAAUGCAGCUCUAAAUGGGUGGUAAAUUUCAUCUAAAGCUAAAUAUUGGCCGGAGACCGAUAGCGCACAAGUAGAGUGAUCGAAAGAUGAAAAGCACUUUGAAAAGAGAGUUAAAAAGCACGUGAAAUUGUUGAAAGGGAAGCGCUUGCGACCAGACUCGCUCGUGGGGUUCAGCCGGCAUUCGUGCCGGUGUACUUCCCCGCGAGCGGGCCAGCGUCGGUUUGGGCGGUCGGUCAAAGGCCCUCGGAAGGUAACGCCCCCUCGGGGGCGUCUUAUAGCCGAGGGUGCAAUGCGACCUGCCUGGACCGAGGAACGCGCUUCGGCUCGGACGCUGGCAUAAUGGUCGUAAGCGACCCGUCUUGAAACACGGACCAAGGAGUCUAACAUCUACGCGAGUGUUCGGGUGUCAAACCCGUGCGCGCAGUGAAAGCGAACGGAGGUGGGAACCCUUUUGGGUGCACCAUCGACCGAUCCUGAUGUCUUCGGAUGGAUUUGAGUAAGAGCGUAGCUGUUGGGACCCGAAAGAUGGUGAACUAUGCCUGAAUAGGGCGAAGCCAGAGGAAAC